AAAGUGACGGUACCUGCAGAAAAAAGCGCCGGCUAACUACGUGCCAGCAGCCGCGGUAAUACGUAGGGCGCAAGCGUUAUCCGGAAUUAUUGGGCGUAAAGAGCUCGUAGGCGGUUUGUCGCGUCUGCUGUGAAAUCCCGAGGCUCAACCUCGGGCUGCAGUGGGUACGGGCAGACUAGAGUGCGGUAGGGGAGAUUGGAAUUCCUGGUGUAGCGGUGGAAUGCGCAGAUAUCAGGAGGAACACCGAUGGCGAAGGCAGAUCUCUGGGCCGUAACUGACGCUGAGGAGCGAAAGGGUGGGGAGCAAACAGGCUUAGAUACCCUGGUAGUCCACCCCGUAAACGUUGGGAACUAGUUGUGGGGACCAUUCCACGGUUUCCGUGACGCAGCUAACGCAUUAAGUUCCCCGCCUGGGGAGUACGGCCGCAAGGCUAAAACUCAAAGGAAUUGACGGGGACCCGCACAAGCGGCGGAGCAUGCGGAUUAAUUCGAUGCAACGCGAAGAACCUUACCAAGGCUUGACAUAUACGAGAACGGGCCAGAAAUGGUCAACUCUUUGGACACUCGUAAACAGGUGGUGCAUGGUUGUCGUCAGCUCGUGUCGUGAGAUGUUGGGUUAAGUCCCGCAACGAGCGCAACCCUCGUUCUAUGUUGCCAGCACGUAAUGGUGGGAACUCAUGGGAUACUGCCGGGGUCAACUCGGAGGAAGGUGGGGAUGACGUCAAAUCAUCAUGCCCCUUAUGUCUUGGGCUUCACGCAUGCUACAAUGGCCGGUACAAAGGGCUGCAAUACCGUAAGGUGGAGCGAAUCCCAAAAAGCCGGUCCCAGUUCGGAUUGAGGUCUGCAACUCGACCUCAUGAAGUCGGAGUCGCUAGUAAUCGCAGAUCAGCAACGCUGCGGUGAAUACGUUCCCGGGUCUUGUACACACCGCCCGUCAAGUCAUGAAAGUCGGUAACACCUGAAGCCGGC
rnacentral:rRNA from 1 species